GAGAGUCGCCUCGGCCGCUCGCUUUCUCGACUCCCGCCUCGCGCCUCGAUCCUGUUCCGCCUCCCUCGGCCCUCCUGCCCGCCCCCACUCGUCGGCCCUCAGCUCAGAGACCUAAUAGGAUGGGGUCUUAGAGAAACAUCUUUUGAGCCACAGACUUCUUUGUUACCAGAAGGAAAAUGAAAGAAGAAAUUUAAAUACCACUUGAAGAGAGUUUCCUCAUCAGCAAAGUCAGAAAAAGUAUGUACCUGAAGGACUGAUUGUAAGGCUGGGAUGAGAGAAUCCAUGUGAUCAGCCCUCACCAACAGGUGCUGCCCAGUUCAUGAGUGCUGCUGCUGUCCUGCCCAAGUACCCAGCUUGCAGAGUGCCAGAGUUAGAGUCCCAGGGGUGUUCUCCACAGCUGCAUGCUUGAUCCAGGCCUAUCAGCAUCUGAGGAAUACAUCCAAAGAGGGUGAUACUGUGGCAUGAUGGUACCAGGAUUCCAAGUUCAUUCCAGAGAAGAUGGCAAGAUGCAGAGAGGAGGAGUCACGCCUGAAGCCACACAGCUGACAUCAGAGCCAAAGCAUGAGCCUCAGUCUCUCUGACCCAGAGCUACCACCCUUGCUGCCUUGGGAAGAAGGAAGCCCCCUCCUAUUCUAUCCUUGAGCUGCCUUGGCAAGGAGGGGCCCCUUGCUGCCGCCAUCCUCACAGGACACCAUCCACAUGAGGGGAUGAUCAUUGGGUAGAGACUAGAAAUGUACCGAGCAGUGCGCAAAGAAGAUGAGGAGGGUUCUACAGUUUCUCCAGAUACAUACCAUGACAAUUUGUUUUUUUAAAAAAGAAGAAAGCCUGCAGGAAAAAAUCUACAACUUUCAUCAAAUUACUCAGGGAGACUUUAUUCUAAAGAGACUGAAAACGACCAACAUCAAUUUUGACUCCUAUGGGCAUCUGUAAAUAGCUUCAAGGUUUUAAGGUGAAAUGUCAUGUACCAAAAUACACAUUCUGGAGAAGCAGGAAGCUACAGACCAACUUGAGAUGAAAGUCUCAUAUCAAUGUUUUCCCAAGUGUGCUCCUUGGAAUACAGGUUGACAUGAUAUGAUGCCCAGCAAGGGAAACAAAACAUAUUCAUGUUCAAAUUAGUUGGGGAAAUGCUGGACUAAAUAAGGUUUGAUGGGAUUCUUUUUUCUGCAGGACUUCUCAGAAGGGGCUAGAGUAGGCAAAGUUUCCCAGAUUUACCUAAUAAAAGCAUUGUUUCUGUGGGAGUUUCAUUUGUUAUUACAUGUUUCCUGAAUGCAGAUUCAUAGACUAUCCUUUGGGGAACCCUCGUCCUCACGGGAUGUAUGUUCAUGGUGGUGUCUUCGAGUUUGUGCCCUUGUGAAGCAUUCUGGCAGCAAGCAUCUGAACACUUCCAAAAGGGGGCGAUAUUUAGGAGAAAUCGCUCAGCCUGAGUUAGAACAAAUGCAGCUGCUGGUGUCUCUUGGUGCCUGGGAGCCCUAGAGUGUCAGAGGGAGGAGCGUGCACACUGGAACCAGCAGCCUGGUGCUGCGUCUCAGCUCUGUCGCUAACUGGCUAUGCACCUCUGGGCAUGGCACUUAACCCUUCUGAGCCCCAGCCCGCCAUCUGUAAAAAGGGCUUGAUGUGAGGAUUGAAUGAGAUCAUGCAGGGAACACAAUGUCUGGCACUUGGAAGCGUCCACCAUAAAGAGCCAAGGCAGUAGAUGGCCCAGCUGGGUUUGGUCCAGGCAGAGUUUACCCUCUGCCCUGGAGGCUCCAGGAAAUGCUGCCACGUGGCUCCUAUUGCCUUAACCACAUCCGACCUGUUCCUGACAGCUCCCCACAUCUCCAGCUCCUUUGCUGGUGCUCCAGGCACCUCCAAACGUGGCGAGCCCCUCUCCCCUGCCCUCUUGUGGCAGCUGACCUGGC
ensembl:lncRNA novel transcript, antisense to CBLN1